GGCGAACGCUGGCGGCGUGCUUAACACAUGCAAGUCGAACGGAAAGGCCCUGCUUUUGUGGGGUGCUCGAGUGGCGAACGGGUGAGUAACACGUGAGUAACCUGCCCUUGACUUUGGGAUAACUUCAGGAAACUGGGGCUAAUACCGGAUAGGAGCUCCUGCUGCAUGGUGGGGGUUGGAAAGUUUCGGCGGUUGGGGAUGGACUCGCGGCUUAUCAGCUUGUUGGUGGGGUAGUGGCUUACCAAGGCUUUGACGGGUAGCCGGCCUGAGAGGGUGACGGGCCACAUUGGGACUGAGAUACGGCCCAGACUCCUACGGGAGGCAGCAGUGGGGAAUAUUGCACAAUGGGCGGAAGCCUGAUGCAGCAACGCCGCGUGCGGGAUGACGGCCUUCGGGUUGUAAACCGCUUUCGCCUGUGACGAAGCGUGAGUGACGGUAAUGGGUAAAGAAGCACCGGCUAACUACGUG
rnacentral:rRNA from 1 species